rnacentral:rRNA from 1 species
AGCGAACGCUGGCGGCAGGCCUAACACAUGCAAGUCGAACGGACCCUUCGGGGUUAGUGGCGGACGGGUGAGUAACACGUGGGAACGUGCCUUUUGGUUCGGAACAACUCAGGGAAACUUGAGCUAAUGCCGAAUGUGCCCUUCGGGGGAAAGAUUUAUCGCCAUUAGAGCGGCCCGCGUCUGAUUAGCUUGUUGGUGAGGUAAUGGCUCACCAAGGCUUCGAUCAGUAGCUGGUCUGAGAGGAUGAUCAGCCACAUUGGGACUGAGACACGGCCCAAACUCCUACGGGAGGCAGCAGUGGGGAAUCUUGCGCAAUGGGCGAAAGCCUGACGCAGCCAUGCCGCGUGAAUGAUGAAGGUCUUAGGAUUGUAAAAUUCUUUCACCGGGGACGAUAAUGACGGUA